CGAGUUACUAUACCAUCAACCUCGUCUUCUAUACCUACACCGUAAACCUCACCAGCUUCGACGGCUCUACCACCACCGGUUAUAACCUCUACUACAAAUACUACAAUCCCGACAGAGAUGCCUACUUCUGAUAAUCAAACAUCAGUUGCUUUGCCUACGAGUGAUACUAAUGUCUCCUCCUCAACAACACCAGCCCCAUCUUCUCCUCCAUCACCUCCUGUUUCUACAGAUGUUACUAGAACUAUGCAACAUGAAUCUCAAUCGCCAGGGUUACUUGAGGUUCUUGGACGAGGCCAUCGUGCUAAGAAGGCGUCUAUUCUCCUGAAAUAAUUUAUAACGAAUACAGCUCAGACUACGACCCCCCCCCC
rnacentral:lncRNA from 1 species